CCCUUAGAUGUUCUGGGCCGCACGCGCGCUACACUGACAGAGCCAACGAGUUCUUUCCCUUGGCCAGAAGGUCUGGGUAAUCUUGUUAAACUCUGUCGUGCUGGGGAUAGAGCAUUGCAAUUAUUGCUCUUCAACGAGGAAUGCCUAGUAAGCGCGUGUCAUCAGCACGCGUUGAUUACGUCCCUGCCCUUUGUACACACCGCCCGUCGCUACUACCGAUUGAAUGGCUCAGUGAGGCCUUCGGACUGGCUCGAGGAGGUUGGCAACGACCACCUCAAGCCGGAAAGUUGGUCAAACUCGGUCAUUUAGAGGAAGUAAAAGUCGUAACA
rnacentral:rRNA from 1 species